CAGUGACUCUGUUCAACGGCCGCGGUAUCCUAACCGUGCGAAGGUAGCGUAAUCACUUGUUCUUUAAAUGUGGACUAGUAUGAAUGGCAUCACGAAGGUUAUACUGUCUCCUUUUUCUAAUCAGUGAAACUAAUCUCCCCGUGAAGAAGCGAGGAUAAAACUAUAAGACGAGAAGACCCUAUGGAGCUUUAAACAUUUAUAACACUUGCUAAAUAAAAUACAAAUUUCAGAAUUAUUUACUCUUUAAGCAACUUGUCUAUAAGUUUUUGGUUGGGGUGACCGCGGAGCAUAAUACAACCUCCAUGUUGAAAGAUCUAUUUCUAAGCUAAGAGCUACACCUCUAAGCAUCAACAUAUUGACAUCCAUUGACCCAAUAUAUUUGAACAACGAACCAAGUUACCCUAGGGAUAACAGCGCAAUCCACUUCAAGAGCUCCUAUCGACAAGUGGGUUUACGACCUCGAUGUUGGAUCAGGGUUCCCAGUGGUGCAGCCGCUACUAAA
rnacentral:rRNA from 1 species